CCGGCGACCGGCGCACGGGUGAGUAACACGUAUGGAACCUGCCCUAUGCAGGGGGAUAAGCGGAAGAAAUUCCGUCUAAUACCGCGUAAUAUCUUUCGGGGGCAUUCCUGAGGGAUUAAAGGAAGCGAUUCCGGCUACGGAUGGGCAUGCGGCGCAUUAGCUAGUUGGCGGGGUAACGGCCCACCAAGGCGACGAUGCGUAGGGGUUCUGAGAGGAAGGUCCCCCACACUGGUACUGAGACACGGACCAGACUCCUACGGAAGGCAGCAG
rnacentral:rRNA from 1 species